rnacentral:SRP_RNA from 1 species
GGGGCCCUGCGCAACAGGACACCGUGAACCAUGUCAGGGCCGAGAGGCAGCAGCAUUAAACGGCCCGUGCUGUGUGCCGCAGACAAGC